UGGGGAAUUUUGGACAAUGGGGGAAACCCUGAUCCAUCCAUCCCGCGUGUGCGAUGAAGGCCUUCGGGUUGUAAAGCACUUUUGGCAGGAAAGAAACGUCAUGGGUUAAUACCCCGUGAAACUGACGGUACCUGCAGAAUAAGCACCGGCUAACUACGUGCCAGCAGCCGCGGUAAUACGUAGGGUGCAAGCGUUAAUCGGAAUUACUGGGCGUAAAGCGUGCGCAGGCGGUUCGGAAAGAAAGAUGUGAAAUCCCAGAGCUCAACUUUGGAACUGCAUUUUUAACUACCGGGCUAGGGUGUGUCAGAGGGAGGUGGAAUUCCGCGUGUAGCAGUGAAAUGCGUAGAUAUGCGGAGGAACACCGAUGGCGAAGGCAGCCUCCUGGGAUAACACUGACGCUCAUGCACGAAAGCGUGGGGAGCAAACAGG
rnacentral:rRNA from 1 species